rnacentral:rRNA from 2 species
CACGGUGGAUGCCCUGGCAGUCAGAGGCGAUGAAGGGCGUGCUAAUCUGCGAUAAGCGCCGGUAAGGUGAUAUGAACCGUUAUAACCGGCGAUACCCGAAUGGGGAAACCCAGUGUGAUUCGUCACACUAUCAUUAACUGAAUCCAUAGGUUAAUGAGGCGAACCGGGGGAACUGAAACAUCUAAGUACCCCGAGGAAAAGAAAUCAACCGAGAUUCCCCCAGUAGCGGCGAGCGAACGGGGAGGAGCCCAGAGCCUGAAUCAGCAUGUGUGUUAGUGGAAGCGUCUGGAAAGGCGCGCGAUACAGGGUGACAGCCCCGUACACAAAAGCGCAUGUGCUGUGAGCUCGAUGAGUAGGGCGGGACACGUGGUAUCCUGUCUGAAUAUGGGGGGACCAUCCUCCAAGGCUAAAUACUCCUGACUGACCGAUAGUGAACCAGUACCGUGAGGGAAAGGCGAAAAGAACCCCGGCGAGGGGAGUGAAAAAGAACCUGAAACCGU